GUUAAACUUGUUCCAAGUUUGAGGCCUGAGCAAGCCAUCGUAACAGCAAAGUUUUGCUUGUGCUGGACCUCCAGUCAUAUGAUUUGACUGAUGACCUUCUGCCAUCAGCAGCAAUCACAACAUCAUCACUCAGAUAAACAGCAUCCCGUUUGAUUGGAGAAACUUCCAGUGUCGACCGAGUUGAUGAUCUCUUCAAUUUUCCC